UAUGAUGCUCUUCGGGUAGGUCCGUCUAUAAAACGUAAUUUGAGGAAGUUUAACUACACUGGCCCUAUCACCAUCACUGCCGUUGGCGUACUAUCAGAGGUCCCUCGAGAUUUCCUUGAAACCACUGGAGAGUGGAGUCAGUCUCUUUCUCAAGUCUUAGUUGUUUCUGAAACAGGUCCCACAUACAUGGUUUCGCUUUUCAUUGACUCCCCUGAUUCUAAGAUUCCACGUCCACAUAAUACCUAUGAAGACGACGAGGCUCCCCCUUGAUUAUUUUCCGGAGAAAUAAUGCCUACUACCAUUGGUGAGGGAAGAAGCAACCAAACCUUGAGAUUUCUCAUCUUUUGAAUUCUGGGGUUUACCGGAAAUCUUGGUAAAUAGAAAUGUGAAAUGUACCAUCCUUUAAUAAUCUUUUCUUAUUAUCUUUUAUUUCCGUGAUUUAAUGUAGUAAAAUCAAGUUCCUGUCACUUGAAGUUGUACAACUUACAAAAAAAAAACAGAACACAGAGAAAGCUACUCUGUAUCCAAUGCUCUGUGUUAUCAUGCAUAUAUUAUAAAAC